rnacentral:misc_RNA from 1 species
ACGAGUUCAAAAGUCGGCUGACCGUGCUGGCAUGCAGGUGCACGUCGGUCGCGAACCAUCCACACACCGUGAACCUAUGGCCCGGGGAGAUGACCCUCUCUGGGCACCAUUUUUACACUCUGUUUGUAAAGGAAUGUCUUUAUUUCAUAAAGUAAA